UACGAAGGGGACUAGCGUUGUCCGGAAUCAUUGGGCGUAAAGAGCGCGCGAGGCGGCUUGGCAAGUCGGGUGUGAAAUCCCGGGGCUCAACCCCGUGACUGCAUCCGAUACUGUCAGGCUAGAGGUAGGUAGGGGAGAUCGGAAUUCCUGGUGUAGCGGUGAAAAUGCGCAGAUAUCAGGAGGAACACCGGUGGCGAAGGCGGCAUCCUGGACCGGUAUUGACGCUGAGGAGCGAAAGCUAGGGGAGCAAACGGG
rnacentral:rRNA from 1 species